UGUGGCUCAGUGGUAGAGCACUUGCCUAGCAUGUGUGAGGCACUGGGUUCGAUUCUCAGCA
rfam:Ictidomys tridecemlineatus contig012826, whole genome shotgun sequence.